AAUAUUGCACAAUGGGCGCAAGCCUGAUGCAGCCAUGCCGCGUGUGUGAAGAAGGCCUUCGGGUUGUAAAGCACUUUCAGUCGUGAGGAAGGCGGGUACGUUAAUAGCGUAUUCGUUUGACGUUAGCGACAGAAGAAGCACCGGCUAACUCCGUGCCAGCAGCCGCGGUAAUACGGAGGGUGCGAGCGUUAAUCGGAAUUACUGGGCGUAAAGCGCAUGCAGGUGGUUUGUUAAGUCAGAUGUGAAAGCCCCGGGGCUCAACCUCGGAAUAGCAUUUGAAACUGGCAGACUAGAGUACUGUAGAGGGGGUAGAAUUUCAGGUGUAGCGGUGAAAUGCGUAGAGAUCUGAAGGAAUACCGGUGGCGAAGGCGGCCCCCUGGACAGAUACUGACACUCAGAUGCGAAAGCGUGGGGAGCAAACAGGAUUAGAUACCCUGGUAG
rnacentral:rRNA from 1 species